rnacentral:rRNA from 1 species
ACCAGUGGCGAAGGCGGCUGUCUGGUCUGUACUGACGCUGAGGGGGACGUGUGGGUAGCGAACAGGAUUAGAUACCCUGGAGAAGGGCCGUAAACGAUGAAUGCUAAGUGUUGGAGGGUUUCCGCCCUUCAGUGCUGCAGCUAACGCAUUAAGAAAACCGCCUGGGGAGUACGACCGCAAGGUUGAAACUCAAAGGAAUUGACGGGGGCCCGCACAAGCGGUGGAGCAUGUGGUUUAAUUCGAAGCUACGCGAAGAACCUUACCAGGUCUUGACAUCUUCUGCCAAUCUAAGAGAUUAGACGUUCCCUUCGGGGACAGAAUGACAGGUGGUGCAUGGUUGUCGUCAGCUCGUGUCGUGAGAUGUUGGGUUAAGUCCCGCAACGAGCGCAACCCUUAUUAUUAGUUGCCAGCAUUAAGUUGGGCACUCUAGUGAGACUGCCGGUGACAAACCGGAGGAAGGUGGGGACGACGUCAAAUCAUCAUGCCCCUUAUGACCUGGGCUAA